ACCACCGGCUAGCUCAAUUGAUAGAGCGCGAGACUCUUAAUCUCGGGAUCGUGGGUUCGAGUCCCACGUUGGGCG